rnacentral:rRNA from 1 species
UAUGUUCUUCGUGAACAUGGCGUACUGCUCAGUAACACGUGGAUAACCUGCCCUUGGGUCCGGCAUAACCCCGGGAAACUGGGGAUAAUUCCGGAUAACGCACAUAUGCUGGAAUGCUUUAUGCGUCAAAUGGAUUCGUCUGCCCAAGGAUGGGUCUGCGGCCUAUCAGGUAGUAGUGGGUGUAAUGUACCUACUAGCCGACGACGGGUACGGGUUGUGAGAGCAAGAGCCCGGAGAUGGAUUCUGAGACAUGAAUCCAGGCCCUACGGGGCGCAGCAGGCGCGAAAACUUUACAAUGCGGGAAACCGUGAUAAGGGGACACCGAGUGCCAGCAUCAUAUGCUGGCUGUCCGGGUGUGUAAAAUACACCUGUUAGCAAGGGCCGGGCAAGACCGGUGCCAGCCGCCGCGGUAACACCGGCGGCCCGAGUGGUGAUCGUGAUUAUUGGGUCUAAAGGGUCCGUAGCCGGUUUGGUCAGUCCUCCGGGAAAUCUGACGGCUUAACCGUUAGGCUUUCGGAGGAUACUGCCAGGCUUGGAACCGGGAGAGGUAAGAGGUACUACAGGGGUAGGAGUGAAAUCUUGUAAUCCCUGUGGGACCACCUGUGGCGAAGGCGUCUUACCAGAACGGGUUCGACGGUGAGGGACGAAA